rnacentral:rRNA from 1 species
GACGAACGCUGGCGGCGCGCCUAACACAUGCAAGUCGAACGAGCGAGAGAGAGCUUGCUUUCUCGAGCGAGUGGCGAACGGGUGAGUAACGCGUGAGGAACCUGCCUCAAAGAGGGGGACAACAGUUGGAAACGACUGCUAAUACCGCAUAAGCCCACGGUGCCGCAUGGCACAGAGGGAAAAGGAGCAAUCCGCUUUGAGAUGGCCUCGCGUCCGAUUAGCUAGUUGGUGGGGUAAUGGCCCACCAAGGCGACGAUCGGUAGCCGGACUGAGAGGUUGAACGGCCACAUUGGGACUGAGACACGGCCCAGACUCCUACGGGAGGCAGCAGUGGGGAAUAUUGCACAAUGGGGGAAACCCUGAUGCAGCGACGCCGCGUGGAGGAAGAAGGUCUUCGGAUUGUAAACUCCUGUUGUUGGGGAAGAUAAUGACGGUACCCAACAAGGAAGUGACGGCUAACUACGUG